ACAAUUUAAAUUUGAAUACAUUAUUAAAUUGGGUCACCUAUGUAGUAGAAGUGUGAAGUUAUUUUAGAAAUUGGUGCCCUCUAGGCCGAGAAAAGCCAGAAAAUGUGUUUUUUGGCUUAUGUGGAUGAAAAACACCAAGUCCCAGAAUGCAUUGCUUCGCUGCUCUACGAGGCCACUCCCUAGUCACGCCUACUGGUUCGAGACGGCAGGAGGGAGGGAGAUUCAACUAGACUAAAUACAACUUUUACAGACACGUCUGCGACGAUUUAGUUGAUAUAUUAUUAUAAAUACUACCUUUUCCACAUCGAAAUGAUGAUAAGUUGCGUUGUACCGGGAUAUUCAACCAAAACCGGGAAAAGGACAAGCAGUAAGUUUUCAUCGUUUGCUACGUUGUAAACAAUGGCUGCGGGCUAUCAACCACGCAAAGUGUCGAGAAGACAACGAUGCGGUAAAAUAAAAAAAACAGAGGGUUUGCAGUCUCCAUUUCAAGCAUAAAGACAUCGAACCCAAUGUACUCGGAAUGAAGCGAAACACGCGAAAAGACACUGCAAUUCCGUUCAUGUUUACCUUCACAGACACGACGAACAGCCGGAGCCAUCUGGUAUCAAACGCAUUCGUCUACGUUUGAGGUUUCCAGAAGAAGAUGCAGAAGAAGGGGGAAAAAAGAACAAUGAUAUCCUCCUUGCAUGGACCAGGUCUGUCCUAAAUCAUAUGUGGUUUUCCUGUGCAACCAGUAAGGGGGA